UCGUAGUGUUCGUGAGUUCGCGUCUCUUAUGCGCGUUGUUUAAAUUUCAAGCGUGAGAGUCGCUUCUUAAUGCUUUUCAACAAUGAUGGGUCUGACGACAGGAGCUGGUGCUGUGCAAGGUCCGCUUGCUGCGUGAGAAGAAAUAUGCAAACCAAGUGGGGGAAAGUCGGCCUCGGAGAUGGCAGGGAUGCUGUCCUGCCGAGUCCAACCGGUCCAUGAAGGUGCCUGGGUCUCCUUGUAGGACUGCUGGAUGCGGCUUCUCUCCAGAUGGAUGAACAGGGGGCAGGCCCCCUGGCACUGCCACCACCUUGUUACCAAAGCGGCUCGGGUGGACGCCAUCUCUGCUCAGGCAACUAGACCAGUUGUCCACGAGACCACCCAGGAAUGUGUAGCCGUACUCGUGGCAGUACUGCAUCAGGGCAGUGUUAAUCUUUAUGUAGUUAUCAUUAAGGUCAUGCAACCAAGAGGACUGAGCUUCCCAUGAGCUGUACUGAUUGUGCCCCCGAGGAAGAAUGGCAGAAAAAGCUACAUGCACCAUAGGAUUUCUUUCAAUGAUCCCCUGAGCGAGCUGGCAAUACUUGUCCAUGCACACGCUGACACUGUCAAAAGUGUUGUUAGUGCCAACGUGCACAAUAACAACAUCAAAACCAGCUAGCUUGUCAGCAAUCAUUGACAGCAAAUGAUCAAUCCUUACUCCUCUAUGCGCGGCAACACUGACUGACAAACUACGACGCGAUGGGAAAUACUGGUCCGUGUAUUUCACCAUCUAGUCGCCGGCAACCAAAACACGUGUCAUGUUGCAAGCAGUGCAAUCUAAAAUGACACCUAGAAGAAAAAAAAGACUACGAGAAAAUAAAUCUGAGCUUUUUCACAAACGAAAGGCGGCUACCUUCUAGUCAGCACUAUAUAUGUUGAAUCCAAGAAAUCCGCGCUAGGGUUGAACAAAGCAAGCGGUCGCGAAGAAGGACAGCAAAAUCGGCAAGCAAACACAAUCAAAAUACCAUCAAAAUACUUAUUAGAAUAGAUAUAAAUAAUGUUAGCAAAUAUAAAAUAACCCUGCAAAGCAGCUUUCGCACAUAUAAAAGGAUCAUGUUAAAGGCUUGCCAGGGUGCAGCAGUACCAGGCCUUGGGACCAGCGGCAGCAGAAAAGUACGACCCGCAAGCGCGGCUGACGGGAUGCGUACUGAAUGUAACGUGCGAACAAGCAAUCAAACCACGCGCCCUCGAAAAACCGGAAAUACACAUGCAUGUGACGUUGUCAUUUAGUGACGUCACUUCCGGGCGUUGCAGGAGUCUAUUCUGUGUGGGAUCGUCUAGGCACGGCCGCUCGAUGAAAGCGCACAGGUGCGGCCUGCCGUAUGCGGCGGAGACGGCGUAGCUCGCCUAGUGUUCCGGGCCACCGCAGCGGCGCCACCAGAAGGGGAGAGCAGCCGGAGAUAUGCCGGAGCGUGACAGCGCAGCUCGCAUGCUCUCGCCGCUACUUAAAGGGUGAUAAUAAAUUUUUUAUAUUGUUAAUCAUAUUAGUAAGCGUGACUAUCGAAUGUACCAGGUCGGCGAUGUUUCCACCAAAAUAUAGCAACUGUUCGUUUGUAACUAAAGUGGUUGCUUGGGCUAGUUCGCAUUGUGCGCGUCUGUUUCCUCCUUCCUUGGUCUAGGUAGCCGCGCGUUGCACCGGUCUUUGCCAUCAGGGGCAAACACAAAGCUAAAAUUGCAGUAACCUACUUUAUUCUGCUUCGCUGCUGGUGCAAAUUUUCGGCAGCGGCGUAUUUGUGUUCACAAUUACCCCGCUGUCGAGAACUUACACCCCAGCUAAGAAUAUAUAGUAAUUGGCUCUGUGUUCAGGUGGUUGAGCUUUUCACCACAAGCUGGUGCCACCAAUCUGGCCGCUCGCGUUUACGCCCCCGACCAUCCGGUAAUCCGCCCAAACCGCCCCGGUUUGCCGGAAUAGCCGACACGCUAAAAUGUCUCUGUUGAUUCUAUGGGGUACGUGAUAGUGCCGUGGAGCCAUCGGGCGUCCGGCUGUAAACCCCUCCAGCCGACGACAUGGCGUCAGAAGACGAUUCAUUACGAUCCCUCUCUUUUACGCGAGCCAGCAUUACUGCGAUUUUCAUUCCUUUUCAAUAAAAUUACAGCUAAUUUUCCCUGAGAGAAGCACAAUUUCCCUGAGUUUUCCCUGAGUAUUUCCAGACUAUUCAAAAUCCCUGAGAAUUCCCGAUUUUCCCGGUUGGUAGACACCCUGUAAAACUACCGGAAAGAUGCACACAGCAAGCACUGGGAUAUUACUAAAUAUUCUCUUUAAGGAAGAAAAUAUAUCAGGUGCCGGACACUCUUAAAGCUGUGUUAGACCUUUAACAUUGGACACUUGAGACUAACUAAUCGAAACGUUCUGUGUAAGGUGCUGUGCACACAUAUUUUGUGCAGGUGGUGCUUGUGGCAGAGCAGCCUGUGUGUUGGAUGCUGUGUGAAUAUCUUUACCGUUAUUUGGCUUCUUUACCACUGUAUGAUGGAAAAAUUAGACAGCGAGAAGCGUGCAUGCACAUGCAUGCCUAAGUGUACACAAAAUAAAGUUAAUCCAAACAAGGUGCCACUGCCAACGGAAUUUUCUUUCACGGCGCAGGUCUUUUUUUUCUUAUUUUAGAACACUGAUCCAUCAUGAUGCUGCUAAGCUUGAGACAGUGGGAUUGAAUUCCACGCACGGUGGCUGCAUUUCGAUAGAGGCAAAAUGCAAAAAUAUCCAUAUGCUGCCGGCGUUGUAGUGAAUUAAAAAAAAAGCUAGGUGGUCAAACGUAAUCUGGAGCCAGCCACUAUGGCGUGCCUCUUAACUAUAUGGUGGUUUUGGCGCUUUAAGCCUCGGAAUUAUUGUUUUGGUUAUAACGCUGGAGGUGCACAUAGGUAUCGUUCAUUACACUACAGUAUGCUGGAAAGCAAUUUACCUGUCGUACAAUGAAAGUGAUGUACCGCUUACGUACAUUUCCCCAUUUCUUGAUAUGAAAUGCUAUGAGGGCCUCUCUUGCCGCUGACUCUUCGACCUUUCUCACUGUCUUCAAUAUGAACUAUCCCAGUAGCUAUAACUAAAGCAAUGAGUUUCACUUUGCCAGUAAGUAAAUGGAAUGGGUGGAGUAGCAGGCCAGAGCCAUACUAUUGCAGGCAACGUGUUCACCUUCUUGUACAAAAGAUAUCGUGUCUCUCUCUCUGUUACAAGUAAAUUAUUGGCAGGGGAGAAACUCAAGAUAGGGGGUCACUUUACUUGAUCCCCCAUGGCGCCUGUGCAGCACUUUGAGCCGGAAAUAUGCACUUCAGCACAUGAUAAGCAACGGAAGUUGGCUGCCAGUAAUAAAAUCCCCUUCGAAACACGACUCUGCGCUUGGUCACAUCAACCCUCGGUAUUCUGUUAUUUGAAUGCAUUUUCACGACAGUGUCGCAAGAAAGUGGAUGCAGAUAACCUGCAAAAAAAGAAAGAAAGCCUUGGUGUGGGACAACCUUGCAGUAGACAAUCGCAAAGUCCAGUGGAGCUGCUGUGUAACACAUAAUACGAUUAUUAACAGGACAAACUUAAAAAAAUUGUUAGUGUAUACUGCUCGUAGGAUGGGAGCUUCAGAGGCCCAUGAGGAUCUAGAAAAAAAAAUUAAUUUAAGCAAGCAACACCUUGAAACUCCGCUCAGACACUGCACCCUUUCCCAUCUACGUGGCUGGAAAUGCCACCGAGCAGAUUAGUGUGGGUAAGAGGCCUAUGAGGCUAUUCAGUUUAAAUUUCGAGCCUUUAGAAUGUUGUGUGGUUUUGGAAGGUUCAGCGUUUUUUGUAAUUUGCACUACCAGAAACGUAGCUAUAUGCCCUCCAUUGAGACAUCAAAUAAAAGUAAAAGUAUGGCCUCUUCAUACAUAUGUGCUUCACUGUUUAACUGGCACUGGAAAAUGAGUACAAUGUCUUUGUUCAUUCAACUUCAGCACUGCCCCUCAUACAUUGAGCAUACUUGAUUUUUGGCUGCUGUUUGAGCAUUUGCGAUUAUCAGAAAUGCGGAUUCGCACUGAGUUUCGAAAAAUCGCGCAGCUGACAUGGUUUGUUGCAUGUAUGAUUCUGCAAACGCGAAUUCACCAUGUGAAACGGGAAUAUAGGAGUGAAACAUUGUGUGGCAAAAUUACUGAAUGAUGAAUAAUGCAAAAUACAUUCUGUCCAGCACUUUAAAUCACCGCAAAGUACAGUCACUAAAAGUUCAUCGGGGAUAGCUUUCAUUUAUGGAGCCACGUUUGAUACUGUUCUAAAACAAAAAAAAAAAAGAUUCAUGUUAGAAAGAACAUUGAAAAGGAGGGCAUGAAUGUCUACCAGUUUGUUAGAAAAUAAUGCGUUAUACAUGUGGAGCACUUGUAGUUGAUACAAGUGAUCGCGCCGCUAAAGAGAAAAUGGGGUUUUCAAUACGCGCCGCCUAGGCUAUCUUGACAUAAAAGUUGCGUGCGCAAGCUAGAAGUAGCACUGGACGAAAUUUUUCAGUCUGGAUAAGGGGAUAAAGGGACAUGAUAAGAAGGCGGUCGUGGUGUGCGAAGCGCUUCAAUCUACAAAAGCUGGGAUGAUAGUGGGACAUGGAGGGCUUCUCACACCCGUCAUAUCACCGCUGCAAUGAAGUGGCCUUUCCUUCUUUACGUCACUAUCUCUCUUCUAGGGGAAACAGUAGCAAGGCAUAGGCGCCACACAGGACGCAUAUUAAACAAACUAUCGUGUGACAUCCAGGGGAAAAAAAAGAUCAGUGCCAUUCCACUCUGUGAAGAAGGAUGACCAGUGAAGCUGUGCAUGUGGGCCUUCUCUUGGUUUGAUGUGUGGCAAGGUGAAUGCAGGACAGCAUGAAAAUAAACAGCUGUGCGCAAAAAAAAACAUGGGCAGAGGUAUGUUAGCUGUGUAAGGAAAGUAGCUUAUUCUGUUGCCUUGUCGUGUGGUUCAUCAUAUGGUGGCCAAAUGGGCAGAUCUCUGAAUGACAUAUUGUAUGAACAUUGAUAUACAAUGGAAAACAAGCUCUCAUGUCACAUUAGAGCUCAUUGUAAGGCUCAGAAGUACACUCCAGAAUUUGAUAGAACCUGUGUUUUGAGCAGAGCAGAUGAUAAACUGACAAGGCACAUUGGGUGAGCUUGAGAUCAAGAAGCGGGGUGAUGCUUGCAUCAGUGAACCCUCAGUUUCUCUAUCUACAAAGGAACUGACGUAUCUUGGGAGCGGCGCUUAGGAAGCUGUUCUGUAUCGUGUUUUCGUUGCUUGAUGCAGAUGACGGCACGGUUUUUUGUGUUGGUUUAACUCUUGCCAGGAGCUAUUUAUUCCUGUGUCAAGAAAUAAAACGCCUAGUUGUUAGUGCGCCUACGUGGUUGUCCCGUGUUGUAUUCCUUCGUCCGUCGUUUUAUUUGGCGCCUAACUCGUAAUCAUGUAUAACCGACUCACCCACCAGCACGUGCUCAAUAAUACCUAAUACUACAUAACUUUUGUCACAAGCUUGAGGUGAAUUUUUUGCUAUAUCACUGCAUCAUGGAAUAAUUGUUUAAGUUCAUAUAUUGUUUAUUUUGUGAUGUGUUGCAUUUUCUUCACUUGCAGUCAAAUGCUCUUUGAAUGUUUAUUUCGCAAACAUAUUUUGUUGUAUUGCAUUUUGUUUUUGUUCACUUGUAUUGGAACCUUGUUUUAUAUUUUGCAAUUUACUUUGUUGCAUUACGUUUCGAUAUUCACUUGCUUAGUAACCCUGUUCCUUACUAGUUUGCUUGUACUUUCAUUGUAAUAACUAAACCCCCUUAUCUUAUGCCCUUUGGGCCUGUAAGGUAUUUUAAGUAAAUAAAUAAAUAAAUAAAUAUCAUUGAGGGAAAUAAAAGUCUUGAAGGCAUCUCGUGCCAAUAAUUUAAAAGUGAGUGGUUCCUCCAGAUCAUUUCAAGUUAAUCAAGUGCAACACAUAGUGCAAAGAAAAUUAAGGCAAUGAAACUGUAAUUUCUAUCAUUAAGACAAUAUUAAAUUAUUAAAUAAAAAUGUCAAUGUGUUUUGCAAGUGUAUACAAUAGGUCCAGUGCAAGCUAAAGUUUACAAUGCAGUUGGUAAAUAUGUGCUUACUGUAAAUGAUACUUGAUCUCUGAAGCACGCAGCACUUGUAUGAAAGAGUAACGAGGACAACCAUUCCUUUAUGAAAAAGAGGCACUUUUUUUGCACAACUAGAAAUUACAUUCAGCAAUGUGAAUCGAUGUAUGUAUUGUUACGGGGAUGUUGGGAGUAUAAAACGGCUGUAUUUACAAUAUAUAUAAAAAUGAGAGCAUAGUUAAGAUGGCUGGCCACCAACAACACGCAGCAGCCAGCGUCCCGCGAUCUUCUUCUUCCAUUCUCUUCUUUUAUCCUUCCGUAACAGAACCACCGGCUGGUGAAGCGCUGUCUCGGCGCAUGGUUGGCGACGAAUUGCGAGCGAAGUAUGGCUUCAUCCGCGAAACGUGGACGACGUCAGCAGGCCUCGGACUUGAGGAUGCAUGAAACUGUAGCGGCAAAGUCUCGUAAUUUACGUCGUUAACUUGACGUAGAACUUCAUAAGGACCUGUGUAGCGAGAGAGAAGCUUCUGGGAGAGGCCAACCCGACGACAUGGUAACCAAAGGAGCACCCAAGCACCUGGCGCGAAGUUAACAUCGUGAUGGCACCUGUCAUAACACUGUUUCUGUAUGUGCUGUGAGGCUAAUAAACCAGAUCGGGCGA